rnacentral:sRNA from 1 species
ACCAGGUGUUGUGGUGCACACCUGUAAUCCCAGCAGCUCAGGAGGCUGAGGCAGGAGGAUCAUGAGUUCAAAGCCAGCCUCAGCAACUCAGUGAGACCCUGUCCCUA